rnacentral:rRNA from 1 species
UGGGGAAUUUUCCGCAAUGGGCGAAAGCCUGACGGAGCAAUACCGCGUGCGGGAGGAAGGCUUUUGGGUUGUAAACCUCUUUUCUUAGGGAAGAAGAAAGUGACGGUACCUAAGGAAUCAGCAUCGGCUAACUCCGUGCCAGCAGCCGCGGUAAUACGGAGGAUGCAAGCGUUAUCCGGAAUUAUUGGGCGUAAAGCGUCCGCAGGUGGCACUUCAAGUCUGCUGUCAAAGACCAGAGCUCAACUCUGGGCAGGCGGUGGAAACUGGGGAGCUAGAGUACGGUAGGGGUAGAGGGAAUUUCCAGUGUAGCGGUGAAAUGCGUAGAGAUUGGAAAGAACACCAGUGGCGAAGGCGGCCACCUGGACAUUCACUGACGCUGAGACGCGAAAGCGUGGGGAGCAAACAGGAUUAGAUACCCCCGUAGUCC